AUGUGAAAUGUUAAUGCACAAGGGUGACUACCUUUUCCAUUCAUUCAUAGCUUUUAUCUCCUUUUCUUAAUUGCUUUCACAUGUAAUGAGUUCCCUUCCAACUUUGACGAGGCAUGCUUCAUGUGAUUUAUGGUAAUAAUGUGUUUUGUCUUCUCUGAUAUCUACUUUGAGGUUCCACUGAGAAUAAAUGGCAUCCUUCUCAAAUCCCAUCUCUGAUUAUUUUCCUUAUAGACUAAAAUAAAUUGCCUUCUAUUUUACAGCAUUCAAAAAGCUUUUGUUUGUUGAUGGGUUCUUAUUGAUUUGAAUUUGAGAAUUGGUGAAUCUGAGAUAUGUUG